ensembl:snoRNA LOC120103329 small nucleolar RNA SNORA17
CCUGUCCUAGAGGCAUUGCAGGUGUGGCUGCUAUGUUGCAUGAGCCUCUGUAGAUGACAGAGGAGAGAGGCUAUGUAUUUGCUCUGUGUUCUGACCUUUGAACCUCUGGGCAGGAAACUACCCUGAGAUG